AGGAUGAACGCUAGCGGCAGGCCUAAUACAUGCAAGUCGUACGGCAACACAGUUGCGAGCAAUCGGCAACCGGUGGCGAGUGGCGCACGGGUGAGUUAACGCGUAUGUAACCUACCCUUCUCCGGGACAUAACUCCGCGAAAGCGGUGCUAAUAUCCCAUACCAACUCAUCAAGACAUCUUCUUGAGUUGAAAGCAGCAAUGCGGUGAAGGAUGGGCAUGCGUCCCAUUAGCUGGUUGGUGAGGUAAUGGCCCACCAAGGCUACGAUGGGUAGGGGUUCUGAGAGGAAAGCCCCCCACACUGGUACUGAGACACGGACCAGACUCCUACGGGAGGCAGCAGUAAGGAAUAUUGGGCAAUGGUCGAAAGACUGACCCAGCCAUGCCGCGUGCAGGAUGAAGGCCCUAUGGGUUGUAAACUGCUUUUAGCCGGGAAUAAACACCCGUUUUAUAACGGGCCCGAAGGUACCGGCUGAAUAAGCAUCGGCUAACUCCGUG
rnacentral:rRNA from 1 species